AACGCGAAGAACCUUACCAGGUCUUGACAUCCCCUGACAACCCGAGAGAUCGGGCGUUCCCCCUUCGGGGGGACAGGGUGACAGGUGGUGCAUGGUUGUCGUGAGCUCGUGUCGUGAGAUGUUGGGUUAGGUCCCGCAACGAGCGCAACCCUCGACCUUAGUUGCCAGCAUUCAGUUGGGCACUCUAAGGUGACUGCCGGCUAAAAGUCGGAGGAAGGUGGGGAUGACGUCAAAUCAUCAUGCCCCUUAUGACCUGGGCUACACACGUGCUACAAUGGGCGGUACAAAGGGUCGCGAACCCGCGAGGGGGAGCCAAUCCCAAAAAGCCGCUCUCAGUUCGGAUUGCAGGCUGCAACUCGCCUGCAUGAAGCCGGAAUCGCUAGUAAUCGCGGAUCAGCAUGCCGCGGUGAAUACGUUCCCGGGUCUUGUACACACCG
rnacentral:rRNA from 1 species